rnacentral:lncRNA from 1 species
UAAUUAGGUCAAUAGGGUAAAACUUUCUGUCAAAACCGCAUGAUCGAUGCGUGGGAAGGUCAUAGGUUAACCCUUGAUCUCAUUUGUUCCGCCCAUCCAUCAUAAGGUUACCGGAAGUUCAACCUGUCAAAAGGUCAAAGGUCAAAGUCAUAAAUCAUCAUGACAGGUAGUGUAUUAUAAUAACUACUCCCAUAUAAUGGAAGCCAGUUGGGACCAGCACAUUUUUUGCUUAACAGCAUUCUUCAAGAUAUCAUCUUUUGUGAUUAACAAAAGAAGGAUACUAAUACAGUUUUGGAGCAUCAUGAAGGUGCUAAAAAAAGGUAAAUUAUGACAGAAUUUAAAUUUUUGGAUGAACUAUCCUUUUAAGAUAAUCUAGACUUGGAAGACAGUUGAAUCUCAAAAUGCAGUAUUAUUUUAUUUUUAUAACAGUGGACAGACAGGUAAGUUGAAUGUAACUGUUAUCUUGACAGAGGGCUAAUCACAGUGAAUGUUUACAGGACCUGGUUUAACCAGCAGUGGAGAGAGUCAUGAAGGAGAAUCACCAAAUAACACCGAUAACGAAGGGUGUCUCUGGGUGGAGUUGGCCUUAUUGGCACAUCUGGCAUGGGAAGCUCUUCACAUCUUGAUGGCAUCUUUAUUGAUUGAUUGAAGGUGGUUUGCCUGUUGGGUAAUUUAAAUUUUUUAUUUUCCGGUGAAACUGGCAGCUGAGGUUCCACUGUUGUAAUAAUAAAAGUUAAAUAAUAAAAAAAGUAUACUGGUAUUGGGAUUGACUACUGAAAUUUAGUUAUUCUGACACUUUUUGUAUGAAAAUGUACACAAGUUGUAAAGGUAUAGUAAAGGUAUAGUUCACCCAAAAAUCUAAAAUAUGUCAUUAAUAACUCACCCUCAUGUCGUUCCAAACCCGUGAGACCUCCGUUUAUCUUCAGAACACAGUUUAAGAUAUUUUAGAUUUAGUCCGAGAGCUCUCAGUCCCUCCAUUUGAAGCU